rnacentral:rRNA from 1 species
GUGACGGCGUGCUUUUUGUAGAACGAUCCAGCGAGUUAAUUUCAUGCGCCAGGUUAAGUCAAGUGACGGAGCCACAGUGAAAGCGAGCCUGAAUAGGGCGAUAAGUGUAUGGGAUUAGACCCGAAACCGGGUGACCUAACCAUGAGCAGGUUGAAGCUGCGGUAACACGCAGUGAAGGACCGAACCAGUUUGCGCAGUAAAGCAUUUGGAUGACUUGUGGUUAGCGGUGAAAUGCCAAUCGAACUCGGAGAUAGCUGGUUCUCCUCGAAAUAGCUUUAGGGCUAGCGUCAUGUAAUAUAGCCAACGGGGGUAGAGCUCUGUAAACGACUGGGGCGGGCAACUGUACCCACCGUUAACAAACUACGAAUACCGUUGGUGGUACCAUGGCAGUUAGAACAUCGGGGCUAAGCUCGGUGCUCAAAAGGGAAACAGCCCAGACCAUCAUCUAAGGUCCCUAAAUUAACACUAAGUGGGAAACAAGGUGAAAUUUCUUAAACAGCGAGGAUGUUGGCUUAGAAGCAGCCAUUCAUUUAAAGAGUGCGUAACAGCUCACUCGUCAAGAGAUUUUGCGUGGAAAAUGUAACGGGGCUAAAGUGUUAUACCGAAGAUAUGGAUUUCGUUAUUCCUACGGGUUUAACGGAGUGGUAGAGGAGCGUUCCUAUCGGCAGUGAAGCUCAAUCGUAAGGUUGGGUGGAGCGUUAGGAAGUGAGAAUGCUGGAAUGAGUAACCAUAAGAAAGGUGAGAAUCCUUUCGGCCGUAAGAGCGAGGUUUCCAGGGCUACUGUAAUAAUCCCUGGGUUAGUCGGGCCUAAGCCGAGGCGUAGCAGCGUAGGCGAUGGACAUCAGGUUAAUAUUCCUGAACCGGUUAUAAUUUGUAUACUGUGUACGGUAAAUUAGUCGAAGCGGAUUAUUGGUAUAUAUCCGUCCAACUUAGCGGGAACGCAAAAGGAGUGAAAGUUAAUCUACGGAUUAACGAUUUUGAUGAAAGUACUGGCUAGAAAAGCAGAUAUACGCGUGGUUAUAGCCGCCCGUACCGCAAACCAACACAGGUGCUCGAGUCGAGUAGACUCAGGCUUACGAGAGACCCUUCGCUAAGGAACUCGGCAAAACAGCGACCGUAACUUCGGGAUAAGGUCUGCCUCCGCAUCAUUCGAUGCGAGUCGUGUUUCAAGCAAUUAGGUUAAGAUUAAUGGUAUAUAUGAGUAUCUUAAACUUCUUUACCGAGAUAGACAAGUCAAAUGGCUUAGCUUGGAACGUGGCAAACUCGUAUCAAACGAUGCGGAGGCCGCAGCAAAAGAGCCCACGGAACUGUUUACCAAAAACACAGGUCUCUGCUAACACGAAAGUGGAUGUAUAGGGGCUGACUCCUGCCCAGUGCUGGAAGGUUAAGGGGAGUGCUUUACGGUGCGAACUGAAGCCCCAGUGAACGGCGGCGGUAACUAUAACCGUCCUAAGGUAGCGAAAUUCCUUGUCAGGUAAGUUCUGACCCGCACGAAUGGAGUAAUC